AUGGGCAAUCUGUGCUGCUGUGUUCAAGUCGACCAGUCUACCGUGGCCAUCAGGGAGCAGUUUGGGAAGUUUGACAGUGUGCUUGAGCCAGGAUGCCACUGCCUGCCUUGGAUCUUUGGGAAACGUGUAGUUGGCCAUCUCACACUCAGGUUGCAGCAGCUGGAUGUGCGCUGUGAAACUAAGACAAAGGACAAUGUGUUCGUCACUGUUGUUGCAUCGAUUCAGUACCGACCUCUGGCUGGCAAAGAAAGUGACGCAUACUACAAACUGACCAACACAAGAUCCCAGAUUCAAGCCUAUGUCUUUGAUGUGAUCAGGGCAAGUGUUCCAAAGCUCAACCUGGAUGAUGCUUUCGUGCAGAAGAACGAUAUAGCAAAGGCUGUGGAGGAUGAACUUGAAAAGGCUAUGUCGGCAUAUGGCUUUGAGAUCGUGCAGACCCUCAUUGUCGACAUCGAGCCAGAUGCGCAUGUCAAGCAGGCGAUGAAUGAGAUCAAUGCAGCUGCAAGGAUGAGGGUGGCUGCAAACGAGAAGGCGGAGGCUGAGAAGAUUGUCCAGAUCAAGCGUGCCGAGGGUGAAGCAGAGGCCAAGUACCUGUCUGGCCUCGGUAUCGCCCGCCAGCGCCAGGCCAUUGUGGAUGGCCUGAGGGACAGCGUCCUGGGCUUCUCAGUCAAUGUGCCUGGCACCACUGCAAAGGACGUGAUGGACAUGGUGCUGAUCACCCAGUACUUUGAUACUAUGAAAGAGAUUGGCGCGUCCUCCAAGUCCUCUGCGGUGUUCAUCCCCCAUGGCCCUGGUGCGGUGCGCGACAUCGCCACGCAGAUCCGUGACGGUCUUCUUCAAGGCCAGUCUGCCUCUGACAACUAG
rnacentral:rRNA from 1 species